rnacentral:misc_RNA from 1 species
GAGGAAAUUGGUUAUGCUGUUCGCUUUGAGGACUGCACAGGACCUAAUACCGUGAUCAAGUACAUGACUGAUGGUUUACUUCUCAGGGAAAUUUUGAUUGACAAGAGUCUGUCUCAGUACUCAGUCAUUAUGCUUGAUGAGGCUCAUGAAAGGACGAUUUACACUGAUGUUCUUUUUGGCCUGCUGAAGCAACUUCUAAAAAGGAGAUCUGAUCUCCGUUUGAUUGUAACAUCUGCCACGCUUGAUGCAGAAAAGUUUUCUGGCUAUUUCUUUAGCUGC